GAUGAACGCUGGCGGCGUGCCUAAUACAUGCAAGUCGAGCGAACAGAUAAGGAGCUUGCUCCUUUGACGUUAGCGGCGGACGGGUGAGUAACACGUGGGUAACCUACCUAUAAGACUGGGAUAACUUCGGGAAACCGGAGCUAAUACCGGAUAACAUUUGGAACCGCAUGGUUCUAAAGUGAAAGAUGGUUUUGCUAUCACUUAUAGAUGGACCCGCGCCGUAUUAGCUAGUUGGUAAGGUAACGGCUUACCAAGGCAACGAUACGUAGCCGACCUGAGAGGGUGAUCGGCCACACUGGAACUGAGACACGGUCCAGACUCCUACGGGAGGCAGCAGUAGGGAAUCUUCCGCAAUGGGCGAAAGCCUGACGGAGCAACGCCGCGUGAGUGAUGAAGGGUUUCGGCUCGUAAAACUCUGUUAUUAGGGAAGAACAAAUGUGUAAGUAACUGUGCACGUCUUGACGGUACCUAAUCAGAAAGCCACGGCUAACUACGUGC
rnacentral:rRNA from 1 species